GACCACACACUCACAGACAUGCCCCAGGUGACCACACACUCACUGACAUGCCCCAGGUGACCACACACUCACAGACAUGUCCCAGGUGACCACACACUCACUGACAUGUCCCAGGUGACCACACACUCACUGACAUGCCCCAGGUGACCACACACUCACUGACAUGUCCCAGGUGACCACACACUCACAGACAUGCCCCAGGUGACCACACACUCACUGAAAUAGUGACAUUUUGAGGGAGAUGGGCAAAGCCGGUGA